CCUACGGGCGGCUGCAGUCGAGAAUCAUUCACAAUGGGGGAAACCCUGAUGGUGCGACGCCGCGUGGGGGAAUGAAGGUCUUCGGAUUGUAAACCCCUGUCAUGUGGGAGCAAAUUAAAAAGAUAGUACCACAAGAGGAAGAGACGGCUAACUCUGUGCCAGCAGCCGCGGUAAUACAUAGGUCUCAAGCGUUGUUCGGAAUCACUGGGCGUAAGGCGGGCGUAGGCUGUUUCGUAAGUCGUGUGUGAAAGGCGCGGGCUCAACCCGCGGACGGCACAUGAUACUGCGAGACUAGAGUAAUGGAGGGGGAACCGGAAUUCUCGGUGUAGCAGUGAAAUGCGUAGAUAUCGAGAGGAACACUCGUGGCGAAGGCGGGUUCCUGGACAUUAACUGACGCUGAGGCACGAAGGCCAGGGGAGCGAAAGGGAUUAGAUACCCCAGUAGUC
rnacentral:rRNA from 1 species